rnacentral:rRNA from 1 species
ACUCCUACGGGAGGCAGCAGUGGGGAAUAUUGCACAAUGGGCGCAAGCCUGAUGCAGCCAUGCCGCGUGUGUGAAGAAGGCCUUCGGGUUGUAAAGCACUUUCAGUCGUGAGGAAGGUAGUGUAGUUAAUAGCUGCAUUAUUUGACGUUAGCGACAGAAGAAGCACCGGCUAACUCCGUGCCAGCAGCCGCGGUAAUACGGAGGGUGCGAGCGUUAAUCGGAAUUACUGGGCGUAAAGCGCAUGCAGGUGGUUUGUUAAGUCAGAUGUGAAAGCCCGGGGCUCAACCUCGGAAUAGCAUUUGAAACUGGCAGACUAGAGUACUGUAGAGGGGGGUAGAAUUUCAGGUGUAGCGGUGAAAUGCGUAGAGAUCUGAAGGAAUACCGGUGGCGAAGGCGGCCCCCUGGACAGAUACUGACACUCAGAUGCGAAAGCGUGGGGAGC